rnacentral:lncRNA from 1 species
UAAAACUGUGUGACACCCUCAGACACAGCCUGUGUCCCUGUGUGACAUCCUACAGCCCCAUGGGGGAUUGAGGAGGAAGGCAAGACAGCCCAAAACUCAUCCUGUUGCCUCUCAGGAGCUCUUGACACCCCCAAAACUAAUCCUGCUGCCUUUUGGGGUUCCUGAUACCCCCAAAACUCAUCCUGCUGCCUCAUGGGGUUCCUGACACCCCCAAAACUCAUCCUGCUGCCUCAUGGGGUUCCUGACACCCCAAAACUCCUCCUGCUGUCACCCUGCACAGGAGCACAGGGCCAACAACCUGCAGUCACCCUGGUGGGAGAGAAACCCCAAUGCUCCCCCAAAACUGAAGAAGAGUUAAUACAGCUGGGAAUUUCCUGGGAGAGGGUUUUGCACAGCACUGAGCCAACACCACUCCUGAUAACAACUGUGCCUGUGAUUUUAUUAAAGAACAAGAUGAGGUUUGUUCUGUGACAGGAACCAUUUGCCAUGAACACUGCUGAUUGCUGCCCCAUCACAUCCCCACUCUCCAUCUCCUUCUCAGCUGCUAAAAACCACUUCAUCACAGCAGGAGAGAUGCUGGACGAGCCAGCCUGAAACUUUGUGGACUUACCUGAGUCACGCUCUCCAAAUAUUGACUCAUUGCUGUUUUUCUUCUUAGGAAAGCUCUCCUGGGCUGUUCAUAAACUCUCACUUUCCCACCUGGUGUGAGAACAGCCAUCUGAAGAGCCAGCUCUGCAAAUGAUGACACACAUGUCCUCUAGACUCAAAAUGUUAGUUGUGCUUUUGAUGUUUUUUUUAAGGUUGCUUGGGUAGG